UGAACACCUUGAGGGGCUGGGAGAGUGCUGCCCCUGGAGAAGGUGUGGACGUUCUGUGCCCCUUUCCAUACACGUUGCCCUGUGCACCUCUUCCAUUGGCUCUUCCUGAGUUACAUCCAUUAUGAUAAGUAUUAACUGCGUCUGAAGUGGGGGCAGUCCUGUGAGAACUUACAUGAACUCCAGGAGAGAAUCUCUACUCCCAGGAAUACAACUGAUUCAACCUUUGAGCUAUCCUUGUAGGCGCCAAGUGGAAUAGAUCCCAGCUAUCUCCACCAGUCCCUACCCAAAUUGAAGAUUUGUGAGCAAAGUAAAUACUGUCAUUGUUUUUAAUCUUCUAAAUUGGGGUGAAUUUUAAAGCAACAAUACCUAACAUUAAGAAGAGCCCAUCACCCCAUUCAACCCAUAGCCGGUAUUGUUUCAGAUAUACCCCUACCUGUUU